rnacentral:lncRNA from 1 species
CAGAGAGGAACUGACCCACUAAACCAACUUACAACUCUACAGUCUGCACUCUUCUUGAAAUUAAAGGUUGCAGCCUUGUGGAACUUUGUAUCUAACAUUCUGUUUAUCAUCGGAUCUCUCUCUGCUGUGACUAAUUAUUACCAUUGAUCACUGAGCCUGCUGAUAAGAUGGCCUGAAAGCAUAAUAGAGGUGAGCUGGCAACAAGGCAAGUGACACUGUGUGUGUUUGUGUGUGUGAUCCGUGACUAACACACAGGUGUGUGCAUCUAUUCAGAAGCUGCACUGCACUGGAAAGCAAGGUCUUAUUUGCAAGACAAAAAAGAUAGCCAGCGGUGCU